rnacentral:rRNA from 1 species
GAUGAACGCUAGCGAUAGGCUUAACACAUGCAAGUCGAGGGGCAGCAUGGUCUUAGCUUGCUAAGACUGAUGGCGACCGGCGCACGGGUGCGUAACGCGUAUGCAACUUGCCUCACAGAGGGGGAUAACCCGUCGAAAGACGGACUAAUACCGCGUACACUCCAUCUUGGGCAUCCAAGGUAGAGGAAAUGAAAUUCGCUGUGAGAUAGGCAUGCGUCCCAUUAGCUAGUUGGUGAGGUAACGGCUCACCAAGGCGACGAUGGGUAGGGGAACUGAGAGGUUGAACCCCCUCACUGGUACUGAGACACGGACCAGACUCCUACGGGAGGCAGCAGUGAGGAAUAUUGGUCAAUGGGCGAGAGCCUGAACCAGCCAAGUCGCGUGAAGGAUGACUGUCUUAUGGAUUGUAAACUUCUUUUAUACGGGAAUAACAAGAGUCACGUGUGACUCCCUGCAUGUACCGUAUGAAUAAGCAUCGGCUAACUCCGUG